GAACGCUGGCGGCAGGCCUAACACAUGCAAGUCGAACGGUAGCACAGAGAGCUUGCUCUCGGGUGACGAGUGGCGGACGGGUGAGUAAUGUCUGGGAAACUGCCUGAUGGAGGGGGAUAACUACUGGAAACGGUAGCUAAUACCGCAUAACGUCGCAAGACCAAAGAGGGGGACCUUCGGGCCUCUUGCCAUCAGAUGUGCCCAGAUGGGAUUAGCUAGUAGGUGGGGUAACGGCUCACCUAGGCGACGAUCCCUAGCUGGUCUGAGAGGAUGACCAGCCACACUGGAACUGAGACACGGUCCAGACUCCUACGGGAGGCAGCAGUGGGGAAUAUUGCACAAUGGGCGCAAGCCUGAUGCAGCCAUGCCGCGUGUAUGAAGAAGGCCUUCGGGUUGUAAAGUACUUUCAGCGGGGAGGAAGGUGUUGUGGUUAAUAACCGCAGCAAUUGACGUUACCCGCAGAAGAAGCACCGGCUAACUCCGUGCCAGCAGCCGCGGUAAUACGGAGGGUGCAAGCGUUAAUCGGAAUUACUGGGCGUAAAGCGCACGCAGGCGGUCUGUCAAGUCGGAUGUGAAAUCCCCGGGCUCAACC
rnacentral:rRNA from 1 species